GGACACAAGCAAUUAACUGCCCACACAGUUGAAGACAUAGAGAGAAUGAGAGAGGAAUAGAGGAGAAGAUCGGGUAGGGGCCGGCGAUGAUCCAGACGACGAUUGGCCAACGAUCAAGCAUCAUCCUUAGUUCCUCCUGAGAUUCGGGACAACCCCGAUCAGCUUGUACUAACCUUGUGGAGAUUGCAAUCCGCGAAACGAGAUAUCCAAUGAACCGAUUACUUGAGUUGCUGCGUGUUCGUAUGAUUGAUGAUCCUAAACAAUUCUAUAGAAACCAGAAAGCCCAUGUUGGUUGCUCCUCCCUAACCAAGCCCCGCCACUCCAUUCAACGGUUCGUGCCUUCUCAACAAUUCCCUUGUUGCCCUCUCUCCCUUCAUGCUUUCGAUGUUUACUCGCCUAACCACUCCUUCGACAACCCUCUUCGUCGCCCUCACGCUACUGCUUAGUCUCUUUUACAGUUGCCAGCCAUUGUCUUCUUCCAAUCUGUUUGUUGCUUUCACCGAUUCACCUGUCUUGCCUAUUCCAUCGCUGCUCCAGAUUGUGCUUAUGGUGGAUUAUAGAAAUGGAUAGCCUCUUCCCCUUCCGCUAGUCCUCGCAUUCUAUUCCUUGUAACUAAUCCUUCUACACAUUCUUUUCAAUCUUCCGCCUCUAAACUGUACGCUGAAAAACUUGCUCCAGUUUGCUAAAUGAGGUUGGAUGAUUUAGCCAUUGAGGCCGUCGGUGCUGUUGAUUACUUGGAGUAUAUAUGAGUAUAUUAUAGUCUAGCAUUAAGAUUGAUAAAGUAUUUAUAGUUAUUCCUCUUUCUCCCCAUUUUUUUUUCAUGCGAAAGUUCAACUGAAUCAUUCCAUAUCAUGAUUGAUCGGCAAAAAGUAUGCAACGACUAUGGCAGAGCAAAAGAUAAAAUUCUUUGGAGAUGGGUUUCAAGGCGUUCGACUAUCAACUUAGGACAAGCCCUUAUCUUCUUCUAUGGGAAAUGGAGUUAGUUUCGUUUCAAAAUUUCUCUCCUCGAAGCUGAGCAGAGGAUGAGAAUGCACAACCUCUCGUGGAUCACUUUGUGAACCUCAAUUUUAAGGGGGAUGCAAGCGACAAAGAUUUCUGUGAUAGUGGGACAAUUCCAGUUGGAUUGCCUUGAGUAUUACAUACGAGAAGAACUGAACAAGACGGAAUCUCAAACAAAUGGUUGUUCUUGAUAAACUUAAGGUGCAUGCCUGAUUUGUCAUUGAACUUAAUUUUUUCUCUGUGUUCAUCAUUGAGCUUCAGUGGUGUCUCUUCAUUUUAAGGUUGUGAUUACCAAUUUACAAGCAGGUAGCAUAUUAGAACUCAAUGCAAGGAAAUAGCCUGAGGCUAAAUCGGAUGAUGUUGUUUAUAAGGUAAAUUAAGAAUACAAGCUGAAUGAUCGAGUUUCUACAUAUAGCUUGAUUUUCAACAGUGGUUUUGUGUUAGGGUCUUUUUAGUUGAGAUACCAAGAUCCAUAAACGUGGACUUCGUAAACUUUCGGAGCAUAUAUAUAUAUUUUUAUUUAUUUAUUCCUUUUAUUUGUUCGUUUUUGUGGAGCCGUCAUUUGAAGUGCUUAGAGGACACUUAGAGGUUCCAUUGUCCAAGACAACAUACAUAGUACAAUCUGAUUUCCCCUUGAAAGACUCAAAAUAUUACUAUGGCCUUGCUCCUGGGAAAUUUGUAAUGUAAACAUGAAAACGUUUUCAACCAGGCUCAACCAAACGUGACUUUGAUGUUGACCAUCAUAUCACAAUGUAGAUAUGAUUUCCUGAUACAGUGCACAGAGGUUAUUCGGGCAGAGUAUGAUCCCUCGAAGACGAUGAAGCCAAAGGUCCUUUUGUAUUCUUGCUAUUUACUACUGUCAAUGCAAAGUUAUAUCUCAAGACUCAUGGCGCCAAGCAGUUUCGUUUUAUAAAUAAAAGGAGAGGAAUCCAAGCAGUUUUUACUUUGUUUAA